CAGCUUGUUGGUGAGGUAAUGGCCCACCAAGGCGAUUACAGGUACGGGCUCUGAGAGGAGAAGCCCGGAGAUGGGUACUGAGACAAGGACCCAGGCCCUAUGGGGCGCAGCAGGCGAGAAAACUUUGCAAUGUGCGAAAGCACGACAAGGUUAGUCCGAGUGAUUUCUGCUAAAGAGAUCUUUUGCUAGUUAUAAAACCACUAGUGAAUAAGGGGUGGGCAAGUUCUGGUGUCAGCCGCCGCGGUAAAACCAGCACCUCAAGUGGUCAGGAUGAUUAUUGGGCCUAAAGCAUCCGUAGCCGGCUCUGUAAGUUUUCGGUUAAAUCUAUACGCUCAACGUAUGGGCUGCCGAAAAUACUGUAGAGAUAGGGAGUGGGAGAGGUAGACGGUACUCGGUAGGAAGGGGUAAAAUCCUUUGAUCUAUCGAUGACCACCUGUGGCGAAGGCGGUCUACCAGAACACGUUCGACGGUGAGGGAUGAAAGCUGGGGGAGCAAACCGGAUUAGAUACCCGGGUAGUCCCAGCUGUAAACGAUGCAGACUCGAUGAUGCAUUGGCAUAUAGCCAGUGCAGUGUCGCAGGGAAGCCGUUAAGUCUGCCGCCUGGGAAGUACGUACGCAAGUAUGAAACUUAAAGGAAUUGGCGGGGGAGCACCACAAGGGGUGAAGCCUGCGGUUCAAUUGGAGUCAACGCCGGG
rnacentral:rRNA from 2 species